UUGAGGGGCCAGGUAGAUGUGGUAUGUGAUUGUCUCCCUGAAAGGGAAUUCACACAUAACUAUUGAUUUGACCAUUUAAGUGGUGGACUGGGGGAUUACAUGUUUUGCCUACACGUUAGGAAUGCAGGCAACUGGAAGCAGUUACUGUAAAAUGUAUAGCCCAAAAUGAUUCUCUCAACAAAGAAAUGGCAGUUAAAGUGUGAUCUUUAUGUUCAGCAGGGAUUAUGACCAUUGAUACCAGGAUUCCUGAUGAAAGUAUAGCACUUUGAUAAAGUCUGUGAGACGAUGGUUCUGGCGCCAAUGGUGUUAGCAACAAAUGUUGUCGUGAAGGUACUGACCAAUAUGACCAUGAAUUGAAAACUUCUGCACCCUCCUUCUUCCUGAAGCUUCCACUGUCCCCCAAGACACACUGGAUCAAGAGGGGCACUCAGAUCAGGUCUGUCGGGAACAUUUUGUAACUUGCAGGUGCUUGGUUAGAGCAGCCGUUUCCAAGAGUUGUGCAUUAUUCGUUAUUUUAAUCUCCAGCAUCUCACCGAGAGCUGUUAUGCAUACGUGGCUCCAGAUUCAGUGGACUAUUGGAUGAACAUUGUGCACUAAGUCCUGCCAUAGCCUAUAGGAAUGCUGCCACCCGCCUUAAGCCUAUCAAGUCUGAGCAUGUCGACGGAGCUCAUCAGCUGGCCUCAAGCAUGUAUGGGACUUUCCCCGACCACCCAACGGGCCUAGGUAAACAACAAUAAACAGUCCAGGUAACGUGUCUAGAUCUGUCACAUGACACUCGAGUUACCCCCGACAGGUACACCAAGUGGCUUGCCGUCAACCCAAGGGGAACCAACAUUCAAGCAGGAACAUUCAACACGGAACAGAUCAUACAAACUAGAAAACAAUAAAGACAAAAUACAGAUUUUCUGUAAUUAGUAAAUAAAUUAGUAAUAUAUUGGAAAUAAGAUUAUGGAUGUUUGAAAAUAUUCAAUCAUAACUGACUUAAAACAAUAUUUUCAAAUAUAUUUAUAAGUAAAAAAC